rnacentral:rRNA from 1 species
GACAGAGGCCUCGAGCGUUAGGCGGAAUCACUGGGCUUAAAGCGUGUGUAGGCGGAUCGUUAAGUGCCUUGUGAAAUCCCACGGCUUAGCUGUGGAACGGCUGGGCAUACUGGCGGUCUUGAGCCAUCUAGGGGCGACUGGAACAAACGGUGGAGCGGUGAAAUGCGUAGAUAUCGUUUGGAACGCCAAUGGUGAAAACAGGUCGCUGGGGAUGAGCUGACGCUGAGACACGAAAGCCAGGGGAGCAAACGGG